GAGGACAGCCAGAGGACGCCCACCCAGCUCCGUCAUACUCUGGACAUGAAAUGAAGAAGAUUGUGAUGAACUGUAUGAUUAUCCUGCACAUCAAAUGAUGGCAGCGAUUCAUCUGGACGCUCCGUUGCUCGUCUCUCCUUCAKCAGCUCGUCUCCUUCUCCUCAGAGCAUCGACAGACACUAGAGAGACGCCUUAACAGAGACAUGAAUAAACCCAACACAUAAGAAUCUCAAUAAACUAGAAGAUCAUACAAAAAGCAAAACAAAUCCAAAAGUCAGAUACUUGAACUAACCGAGGGAAAUGAAUUGAAGGAAAGCAACAGAACAAAGAGUCCAGCCCAGCAGGGCUGCUGUGGCUCAGUUCACAUUUACUCAUUUAUUCUAUGCACGACAGAUUCACAACAAAAGUCGUCUGAAAUAAGUUCACCAGACAAUCUGUCAAGAUGCUUCGGAGCCGAUCCGACUAUGGACUCAGUGAAACAUUUCAAUACAUCCAGUCGAGUUCAGUUCAUCGUUGUGAAGGAAACUGGGUGGCCGUUGCUUUGCCUAAUAAAGAGACGAGGUGAAGCACUGUCCAGUUUUAGGAGUUAAACAGAAACACCUGGCCAGGUGCAGCUCCAGAGAAAACCACAGGGACAAUCUGGAGAUCUUCCUCCAGUACUGCCACAUUACUCAGUAAGCUGUCAGGAUGUGACUGUGCUGAUGAGAUUAAAGCCGGUGGGGCCAGACGGGGAGGCUGCAGCAGAGACGGAGCGGCCCCAUCCAUCUCUGGGUCUCAGAGCCGCUGCAGCACCAUCAGGUCUUCAUCAGGAACCGCCAUGAAGACCACAGGCUGCAGAUAAAGUCCAGUUUUUUAUUUAACAUUUUUUAAUUUUGACAUAUUUUAACAAAACAUCCCUAAUCCACACAAAAUCAGACCAUCAUAAGACAGUUAAACUCAGCAGUGGCAGGUCUGUCAUCAACAGUUUUUCUAAAAUUUAAUUGAAGAAAUUUUAGUACAGGUCCCAUUUCUUCUCAAACACAUUGACCGUCUUCAUUGUGAUGUCAGUCUGUCCACAUGUUGGUCCCCCAACCACAGAUCCAAUGUGAGCACAGAGUCCUUCUUCCAAAAUCUCAGAAUCAACCUUUUAUUAAUCACCGUACCAAACAAAACAGCCGUUUUCUCCCGGUUAGUGGCUGAUUGCACAGAACCAAUAACCAAUAACUGGUUCUGGGUCCCAUUGUUUUCCAAAAAYUGUCAAAAAAGUGAAAGAUUGUCUUCCAAAGUGAGUGAAGCUGAACACGACCAGGAGUGUCGCGUUAGCAGCCUGACAACGAUUAUCGGAGACACGCUUGUAAAGACAGUGCUCAGGUUCUGGUGGGUCUAUGUAAAGUUCUGAGCUGGAUAAGAGUCUGAACAGUCCUGCACAUUUCAUCAGAUCGCUGCUGUCCCAACUCAUCCUCCCAUGUUUCCUGAUCCUGGUUGUGUCUACAGAUGUGCUAUUAAGGAUCUUAUAAAAGUUUAGCACUGAUUGAUGGGAUCAAACUUAUUUACUUCCUCCAGUUUCAUGUUUCUUUAAAGCUCCAAAAUCCGCUACAUUUUUCCUGACGUAGUCCUGAACCUGCAGAUAACGGAACAAACUUGACGGGAAAAGAUGAUGGUCAGAACAUAACUGUGUAAAAGUUCCACUAACAUGCAGGUCACCUGUCACACCGACGCCCUUCAUCCUCCACAUCUGGAAGCUGAGACCUGGUGCAAAGGACCGAUUUUCACAAACAGGAGUAUCAAAAUUAACCUCUGGAGCUUUUAGAAUCUGCUUCUUCAUAGUAUUGCCAAUGACAAAACUAUUAGUAUUAAGUGAUUUACUGACUUUAAUGUUAAGGAGGGCUGUAUUACAACAAUGAUAACCAGGCAGGACAGGACCCAUCAGAUCAGACUGGGCCCUUCCUCCACAGGUCAGGAGGGGUCAGUGGGAAGGGAGAACCCACCCUCCAUCCCGGCUUACAUGAGUGUUUUUGGAGAUUCUGAUACUUUUAUAGCUCCAAAUAAAGGGAAUAAUAAUGGAAUCUAGUUGUCUGAAGUAGGAUACACCUAUAAAACAUGGGACAGAUUGAAAUAAAUGAAGAAACCAAACCAACGCCUCCAUUUUAAUGGCGCUGAUCCUACCAGCCAUGGAUGCAGACGAUCCUCCAGACAUCACAAUUCUGCUAUUAAUAUAAAGUGAAGACUUUUGCUCUGGCAGUUCAGAUGUAGGAGAUGUUCCGUUUUUCUUCUACUAUCACAAAUAUGUGAAGGAAUCAUAAGCUACCUUAAAUGGUGUGGACCUCAAAAAUACAGCAGAUCAGCUUGACGGGAGAUUUUAGGGGGUUUUGCCUAAUGCUGGCAGCCAGAGGUUCAACAUUGACUGAGGAGAGAAACGGAGAGGAGGCCGAUGAAAAGCAACGUCCUGGUGCAGCAUGUAGGAGGGACCGCAGUGGACCCAGGCAGUAGAGAUAAUCAGAAUGGUCUGAAUGAUGAAAUGACAAAAAUACAAAGUUCAGGCUGCACAGAUGAGCUGAAGCUCAAACUGGUAUCAACUGAACAAAUGUAGAGACAUGCGACAAACAAAUGACUGGAUAGACCUGACAGAGAGACAGGCUGGAUUUAAAUACACAGUAAUCAGGGGAACGAGACACAGCUGGGAACAAUCAGGACACCAGACUCAGAGGAACCUCAACGAACACAGAAAAAAACUAAUUAUCACAAGCAGAGGGGCAGGAGAUGCUCUGAUUAGUCAUGAGAAUAAAUUAUUUCAAUCCAUUUUGUAAACAAAGGU